rnacentral:rRNA from 1 species
UAUUAAAAACAUGGCUUGUUGAUAAUAAUUUCAAGUCUGACCUGCCCAAUGAGUAUUUAAAUGGCCGCAGUAUUUUGACUGUGCAAAGGUAGCAUAAUCAUUAGUUUUUUAAUUGGAAACUGGAAUGAAAGGUUUGAUGAGAAAAUUUCUGUCUCUGGGAAAAUUUAUUAGAAUUUUAUUUUUAAGUAAAAAAGCUUAAAUAUAUAUAGAAGACGAGAAGACCCUAUAGAGUUUUAUAUUUUUAAAAGAUUAAAUUUUUUAGCAAGAAAAUGUUUAAUUUUUUAUAAGUAUUUUGUUGGGGUGAUGGAAAAAUUUGAUUAACUUUUUUUGUUUUGUUUUACAUUGAUAUGUGAGUAUUUGAUCCUAGAAUUUAGAUUAUAAGAUUAAAUUACCUUAGGGAUAACAGCGUAAUUUUUUUAAGAGUUCUUAUCGGAAAAAAAGAUUGCGACCUCGAUGUUGGAUUAAAAUUAAUUUCUGGUGAAGAAGCUAGAUAAUUAGGUCUGUUCGACCUUUAAAAUUUUACAUGAUCUGAGUUUAAACCGGCGUGAGCCAGGUCGGUU